GCGAAGAACCUUACCUAGACUUGACAUCCCCUGAAUUACCUGUAAUGAGGGAAGUCCCUUCGGGGACAGGGAGACAGGUGGUGCAUGGUUGUCGUCAGCUCGUGUCGUGAGAUGUUGGGUUAAGUCCCGCAACGAGCGCAACCCUUAUCAUUAGUUGCUACCAUUAAGUUGAGCACUCUAAUGAGACUGCCCGGGUUAACCGGGAGGAAGGUGGGGAUGACGUCAAAUCAUCAUGCCCCUUAUGUCUAGGGCCACACACGUGCUACAAUGGUGAGUACAACGAGAUGCGAACCCGCGAGGGGGAGCUAAACUCAAAACUCAUCUCAGUUCGGAUUGCAGGCUGCAACUCGCCUGCAUGAAGCUGGAGUUGCUAGUAAUCGCGAAUCAGAAUGUCGCGGUGAAUACGUUCCCGGGUCUUGUACACACCGGGGCACAACGCGAAGAACCUUACCGCCCGGGUCUUGUACACACCG
rnacentral:rRNA from 1 species